rnacentral:misc_RNA from 1 species
CGCAGCCGCGGUAAUUCCAGCUCCAAUAGCGUAUAUUAAAGUUGUUGCAGUUAAAAAGCUCGUAGUUGAAUUUCGGGAUCAGUUGGUCGGUCGUGCCUCGGUACGUACUGGUCAAAUUGAUUCCUACCUUCUGACGAACCACGAUGUCAUUAAUUUGGUGUCGCGGGAAAUCAGGACUGUUACUUUGAAAAAAUUAGAGUGUUUAAAGCAGGCUCGCGCUUGAAUACAUUAGCAUGGAAUAAUGAAAUAGGACGUUUGACUCUAUUUUGUUGGUUUCUAGGAUCGACGUAAUGAUUAAUAGGGAUAGUUGGGGGCAUUAGUAUUCAAUUGUCAGAGGUGAAAUUCUUGGAUUUAUUGAAGACUAACUACUGCGAAAGCAUUUGCCAAGGAUGUUUUCAUUAAUCAAGAACGAAAGUUAGGGGAUCGAAGACGAUCAGAUACCGUCGUAGUCUUAACCAUAAACUAUGCCGACUAGGGACGGAAUG